rnacentral:tRNA from 1 species
AGUCCUGUAGCUUAGUGGUUAGAGCACUCGCCUCGGAAGUGAAAGGACCUGGGUUCGAUUCCCAGGCAGGAUGA